rnacentral:snRNA from 1 species
GGGAAUGCUUCAAUAGCCCAUAUACUAAAAUUGGAACCAUACAGAGAAGAUCAGCAUGGCCCCUGUGCAAGGAUGACAUGCAAAUUCAUGAAGCGUUCUAAAUUUUU